rnacentral:rRNA from 1 species
AGUCGAGGGGCAGCAUUUCAGUUUGCUUGCAAACUGGAGAUGGCGACCGGCGCNCGGGUGAGUAACACGCUAUCCAACCUGCCGAUAACUCGGGGAUAGCCUUUCGAAAGAAAGAUUAAUACCCGAUGGUAUAAUCAGACCGCAUGGUCUUNUUAUUAAAGAAUUUCGGUUAUCGAUGGGGAUGCGUUCCAUUAGGCAGUUGGUGAGGUAACGGCUCACCAAACCUUCGAUGGAUAGGGGUUCUGAGAGGAAGGUCCCCCACAUUGGAACUGAGACACGGUCCAAACUCAUACGGGAGGCAGCAGUGAGGAAUAUUGGUCAAUGGGCGCAGGCCUGAACCAGCCAAGUAGCGUGAAGGAUGACUGCCCUAUGGGUUGUAAACUUCUUUUAUAUGGGAAUAAAGUUUUCCACGUGUGGAAUUUUGUAUGUACCAUAUGAAUAAGGAUCGGCUAACUCCGUGCCAGCAGCCCGCGGUAAUACGGAGGAUCCGAGCGUUAUCCGGAUUUUAUUGGGUUUUAAAGGGAGCGUAGGUGGACAGUUAAGUCAGUUGUGAAAGUUUGCGGCUCAACCGUAAAAUUGCAGUUGAUACUGGCUGUCUUGAGUACAGUAGAGGUGGGCGGAAUUCGUGGUGUAGCGGUGAAAUGCUUAGAUAUCACGAAGAACUCCGAUUGCGAAGGCAGCUCACUGGACUGCAACUGACACUGAUGCUCGAAAGUGUGGGUAUCAAACAGGAUUAGAUACCCUGGUAGUCCACACAGUAAACGAUGAAUACUCGCUGUUUGCGAUAUACAGUAAGCGGCCAAGCGAAAGCAUUAAGUAUUCCACCUGGGGAGUACGCCGGCAACGGUGAAACUCAAAGGAAUUGACGGGGGCCCGCACAAGCGGAGGAACAUGUGGUUUAAUUCGAUGAUACGCGAGGAACCUUACCCGGGCUUAAAUUGCAUUUGAAUAAUUUGGAAACAGGUUAGCCGUAAGGCAAAUGUUGAAGGUGCUGCAUGGUUGUCGUCAGCUCGUGCCGUGAGGGGUCGGCUUAAGUGCCAUAACGAGCGCAACCCUUAUCUUUAGUUACUAACAGGUCAUGCUGAGGACUCUAGAGAGACUGCCGUCGUAAGAUGUGAGGAAGGUGGGGAUGACGUCAAAUCAGCACGGCCCUUACGUCCGGGGCUACACACGUGUUACAAUGGGGGGUACAGAAGGCAGCUACCUGGUGACAGGAUGCUAAUCCCAAAAGCCUCUCUCAGUUCGGAUCGAAGUCUGCAACCCGACUUCGUGAAGCUGGAUUCGCUAGUAAUCGCGCAUCAGCCAUGGCGCGGUGAAUACGUUCCCGGGCCUUGUACACAACGCCCGUCAAGCCAUGAAAGCCGGGGGUACCUGAAGUACGAACCGCAAGGAGCUCCUAGG